UUAAGUUCAGCGGGUAGUCUCACCCGAUUUGAGGUCAAGUUUUUUGUGGGUCCAGCCUCCCGCCAAUGUAGAUGGCGAUGACCGGAGCAACCAUCAUUGUCCAAAGGACAGUUAGAAGCAGGCAUCCAAGGGACAGUGCUAAAUCCAAAAUGUAGAAACAUCUUAUCACAUUAAGGAUCAGCAAAGCGGACCCCACUAAU
rnacentral:misc_RNA from 1 species